ACUGAUUUUUAUACAUUAAUCAAAUGAAACAACAGUACCCGCGGUAUACAAGCGAUAAAGUUAUCUCUGGGCUAUCAGUGAAUUAUGAACAGAAAUUAUGCUAUCGUACACACUGGGCGAAAGUCUCAAAGUAUGAUUCACAGCAGAGCAUACAAACUACCUCUCUCCUUUCCCCAGUAAUAUAUUCUCAGUCAGCCUCCGGUUGCAGACACGAGAGAGUGUUUUUCACGCGAGUUUGUGUGUGCAUGUUCUUCUACAUUAACAAGCGCGUGUUUUAAGAAAGUGAAGCUCGUCUACGUGAGUUCCAGCCGCUGAAUCAGACUGUGUGUUUACAGGGAUAUUACGAUAUAAACCCUUUGAAAAAAUCCAGCAAUGACAGAAUCAACAUGGCAACCCUGGGCAGAUAACGUCACCCUCCAACCAAAAGGAAACGCCGUGUUUCACGCGGCCAUAUUUGGCUUUGACGGAGCGCUAUGGGGUAGGAGUUCGAAAGAUAACCGGGGACCGACCCCUCAGGAAGGUGUUGCCCUCGCUUACAUACUGUCGAGUGAAGAAAAACGAGAUUUAGCUCUACAAAAUGGAAUUUAUUACUGUAACUGCAAAUUCAAUGUCAUCUUCGCUGAAAAUGGCGAGGUUAAGGCAGUGAAGGGGGCACGGGAUAAUUGCCCUUCGGAACUCCUUGUCGUCAAACGUUGUAAGAUGUGUUUCAUUUUAGCUAUAGGGAACGGAGAAAGAAGAGGUGAUGUAGUGGAUUCACUAUUUAAAACAGCUAAUAGCCUUACAGAUGCUGGAUAUUAACAACGUUGCCAUAGUAAUAUGAUGUCAUUUAAAUUUAUGUAGGGAAUUUAUCACCAUUUCCAACGAAGAAUUGCCGUCUGCGAGAGAGUUCGAAGGCCUAGUUAAGUGUAAGCUAACGUGGUGUUCAGAGUAAUUGACGUGUGUUUGGGAAAUUGACAUCUUCGAAGUGUUUAAAAAAAAUAAACAUGUUACUCAGCUGAAGGACAACCGUCCCAGGGUCGUAAUCGCAUGUUGUGGAGUUAGGGCGACAUUCAUCGGAAUGGUGCAUAUACACAUUAAUGGAGCAUACUUUUAUGUUCGUCUGAAUAUGAUGUUUGUGUAUAAGUGAACGCUUAUAGUCUAUUUUCAUAUCGUCAUUGUGCGUGAUACUACACUGCCAAGUCCUUACCAUCCUGAUCAUUGAUAUAUGGUGCUUUAAAUGUGUUUGGUAUAUUGUACUUGAUAAUGCAUUUUGUCAAAUUAAAAAGAUGUAUAAUUCAGAAAAUAGAUUUUCAAAAUAUUCAGUGCUAUGGAUAUUAAAGGUUCGUUUUCUGCUUAAGAUAA